rnacentral:rRNA from 2 species
UACGGAGGAUCCAAGCGUUAUCCGGAUUUAUUGGGUUUAAAGGGUGCGUAGGUGGCCUAUUAAGUCAGGGGUGAAAGACGGUAGCUCAACUAUCGCAGUGCCUUUGAUACUGAUGGGCUUGAAUACAGUUGAAGUGGGCGGAAUGUGACAAGUAGCGGUGAAAUGCAUAGAUAUGUCACAGAACACCGAUUGCGAAGGCAGCUCACUAAAGUGUGAUUGACACUGAGGCACGAAAGCGUGGGGAUCAAACAGG